GCGAGCGGCGGUUGACGGCCGGCUCGAGCAGCCAGUGGGAAGACGCGCUGCCGUCGUGAGCCGCGGGUGGGCGGUUACGUUUGGGAGAAGAAUAUGCAAGUCUGUCUUUCUCACCUUGAGAACUUCAGCAUUGAGCCAUCAUGUUGUGCCACAGGAUAAUUUGUAAGCUUGCAGUACUAUGACCUACAACAGUGUGAAGAUGUGCUUUCUGGCUUAAAUCAGCACAGAAGGAUAUACAAACUCCCACUGCCUAUUCACAUUACCUCUAACCUCAGAUGAUGCCAAUGAUAAAUUACAAUUCAUUAUUAACUACCUGUAUGACUGAUGUGCUAGGAGGUUCUUCUGAUUCUGAGGCUCAGGAGAGGCAAAGUGAAUCUCACUAAAGGGAAGAACAGCCUGAAGAUGGUGUCUUCACUGAAGAGUAGUUACUUUAAAAUGUGUCUUGUGAACGAGUCUUGCAGUCGGCCUGAGGAUGCCUAUGUGCCCAUGAUACAGCAUGAUUAGCAGCCUCUGGAGAUUACCACCUGAAAACUACACACCACAAUUCGGAGACCUUCUUGGGAGAAGAAUUUAUACAGUACCUGAUGGCAAUUUGCCUGGCUUCAGCCAAAUAUAUUGAUUGCUAGAUGCAUUAAUUUUAGGAAGCAGACUUUCUCUGUUUUUAUCAAAGAGCCAAUACAUAACUGUGAAAUCAUUUAGCUGGCUUAACUAAGAUUAUUUGACAAGGAGAACAGUUAUAUUAAUAUAACUGAGAAUGUCUUUGUUUGAUUGCCCUUCUCUUUCAAACAACAAUGUUACGAUCAAAUCAAAGGAUCCUAAAACAUUGUUAUUGCUACAUUAGCAGUCCUACAGAGGAAAGAUGUCAGACAAGGUAAUAAAAAUAUCUAAAACUGGCUCAGUAUUAGCAAGGAGGUCUCUUCUUUUCGAACUGUCUCUAGCUCUUAGUGUGUUUGCCUUUGUUUUCCUUGCAAGUCAUCUGUAUGGAGUUUGUUGCUUAUUUUGUUGCUUAAUGUUGUCUGCCUCUCCUCCUUCACACAAUCCUCAGUUCAACACUUGUCUUUUCGAAAAAUAAAUAAAGGUUCCUUUCUAUACUGACUUUUUAAG